rnacentral:rRNA from 1 species
CCUACGGGAGGCAGCAGUGGGGAAUUUUGGACAAUGGGCGCAAGCCUGAUCCAGCAAUGCCGCGUGCAGGAUGAAGGCCUUCGGGUUGUAAACUGCUUUUGUACGGAACGAAACGGUUCGCUUUAAUAAAGUGGGCUAAUGACGGUACCGUAAGAAUAAGCACCGGCUAACUACGUGCCAGCAGCCGCGGUAAUACGUAGGGUGCGAGCGUUAAUCGGAAUUACUGGGCGUAAAGCGUGCGCAGGCGGUGAUGUAAGACAGAUGUGAAAUCCCCGGGCUCAACCUGGGACCUGCAUUUGUGACUGCAUCGCUAGAGUACGGUAGAGGGGGAUGGAAUUCCGCGUGUAGCAGUGAAAUGCGUAGAUAUGCGGAGGAACACCGAUGGCGAAGGCAAUCCCCUGGACCUGUACUGACGCUCAUGCACGAAAGCGUGGGGAGCAAACAGGAUUAGAUACCCUGGUAGUCCACGCCCUAAACGAUGUCAACUGGUUGUUGGGUCUUCACUGACUCAGUAACGAAGCUAACGCGUGAAGUUGACCGCCUGGGGAGUCGGCCGCAAGGUUGAAACUCAAAUGAAUUGACGGCNGAGAGNGACGACGGCGACGACGAGGGGAGGAGG